GGUUUUUUGAAUCCGUACAGAGAUUUCGUCAGGCACCAAUCCAUUAGGACUGAUCAGACUUCCAAGAUAGGUGAAGUU
rnacentral:pre_miRNA from 1 species